CCUACGGGGUGCAGCAGUCGAGAAUCAUUCACAAUGGGGGAAACCCUGAUGGUGCGACGCCGCGUGGGGGAAUGAAGGUCUUCGGAUUGUAAACCCCUGUCAUGUGGGAGCAAAUUAAAAAGAUAGUACCACAAGAGGAAGAGACGGCUAACUCUGUGCCAGCAGCCGCGGUAAUACAGAGGUCUCAAGCUUUGUUCGGAGUCCCUGGGCGUAAAGGGUUCGGAGGCUGUUUCGUAAGUCGUGUGUGGAAGGCGCGGGCUCAACCCGCGGACGGCACAUGAAACUGGGAGACUAGAGUAAGGGAGAGGGAAGCGGAAUGCGCGGUGUAGCAGUGAAAUGCGUAGAUAUCGAGAGGAACACUCGUGGCGAAGGCGGGUUCCUGGACAUUAACUGACGCUGAGGCACGAAGGCCAGGGGAGCGAAAGGGAUUAGAUACCCGAGUAGUC
rnacentral:rRNA from 1 species